rnacentral:snRNA from 1 species
GCUCGCUUUGGUAACACAUACUAAAAUUGUAAUGAUACAGAGAAGAAUAGCAUGGCUCCUGCGCAAGGAUGGCACGCAAACUCAUGAAGCAUUCCAUAUUUUA